GCCAGGAUCAAAUCAAAUUAAAUAUUUUGUCUUCAAAGAGUCAGUUCGACACAUGCUUCUUUGUUUUGAAAACUUUAUCACAAAACUUCUUUUUGAUCUAAAAUGCUGUUGAAUAUGACCCUUUUGAGGAGAGAAGUGAGCUCAGAAUUUAGAUGGGGACUCAAUAAGCAAAGUAUACUAAGUGUACAAUAGAGUUUUGAGGUUAACACAUAUGACAAAGCGAUGUGGUCACAAAAAAGGGAAAGUAUGUGUGUCGGACUUGAUGUUCUCUUGCUUUGUCAAGCUUUUUGCUGUAGUUCUCAAGAUCAUAUGUUAAUCUAACACUGAAAAGUGAUGUAAUCUGGUAGCAACAUAGUAGUUCAAAUAAAGGCAUUUGCAUAAUAA